GUCAACGUCGUACUUUCAAAUCUUAGCUGGCAAGCUAGCAGUCGUCACCAUGACUCAAGUCAACAAUCAAAUCCUUGUCAUAUGAAGAGAAAGAGAUAAACGUCUCGGUGCUCAUCGGCUAUUGGACAUAAACAUUACACAACAAGUUGGACAUCGCAAAUUCAACAAUGAGUGGUUUGGGAAGGAAUUAGUGGCUAGCUGUGAGUUAAAGACAACUCACGAACCGUCUCAACGUUCGUAACAAAAGGGAGACAACAUGGAGACAAGGAAUAACAAAAUAUGUAUUUAUUAACUAAGGGGUGAGAAGAAGGUAAUCUGCAACAAAUUUGUACAGACGAGUGCUUUGACAUGUUUCCUAUGGCCUGCAGAACACGCAAUCGUUUUUGGUUUAACUGAGGGAAAGGUUCACCUUGCUAACACAAAAACAAACAAGUCAUCUACUGUCUACGGAAAAUAUUCCUACAUUGUCUCAUUGACAACAGGUAAAUUGUUGACCCACCCUUGCCAAACCAUAUGCCCUGGCAUGGAGAGCCAACAGCGGCAUAGUGGCUGGAUGUGACAAGAAGAUAGUGGCCUAUGACAGGGAGGGUCACAUCCAGCAGACUUUUGACUACAGCUGAGAAAGAGUUCACUGUGGCCACCAGUCCCAGUGGACAGUCUGUGGUCAGCAGCAGCUAUUACCAGUCAGUCUUCAUUUUGAUACAUCAGUGUUCAGUCUUCAACUGGAGUCCUCUGAAAGGAGCAUGGGACCAAGCAUCCCCAAAGAGAUUCCAAACCUGUACACCAUCACUGCCUUGGCCUGGAAGAAGGACGACUCACGCCUCUGUGCAGUUAGUAACCAUACACGAACGAGCACACCUGUUCGCAGCAGUCAUGCCAUAAUUGAUUUAGGCCCGAAAGUACUGUAGAAAGUAGGCUACACAUUGCCUUUCACAGCUUUUUGUAAUUUAAACUUCAUGAACAUGUUUUUGUCAAUCCCUGUGUGGCGGAGUGGAACAGUUUUCCUGCUGCCUAUGGAGGAGCAUCUACAAGAACAACAUUUGAGAUGACUUAUGAGGGACUGAGUCAGGUGUCACACCAGCCUUCGCUUUGGCGUUCGGCAUUCCCGGCCUUCUAGCUGCUGGCAAACGCCCUUCACUCAUCAGCCCGGACUUGUCUCGUCAUCAUUACACACACCUGGUUCCAAUCCCCACGCUAGCACUGUGUGUGUGUAUAUAUGUCCAUAUAUACACUCCCUCUGUCAUUGUAAAUGUUGCUUGUUUUCCUCAGAGGAAUCUCCUAUUUCCUGAGUACUUUAUUUUGCACUUUGGGUCUUGUCCCGCUUUUAUUUAUUUGUGUGUAUAUAUAUCUCUAUGAAUGAGAGUGCUUUAAUAAACUCAGUAGUUCUAAACCUG